GUUUUGCAUCUUAGUCCAUGUCCUUUUACUGAUCCUGUGACAGGCAUACCUACUUGGCAUGAUAGACUGCAAUCUCCUCUUGUGAUGUAUGGUUUUAGUAAAGAAGUGGUUGAAUGUCCUGGUAUGUUUGUUCUUCU